AGAAUGAACGUUGGCGGCGUGGAUUAGGCAUGCAAGUCGUACGGGCCGCAAGGCCAGUGGCGCAAGGGUGAGUAAGGCGACGGUAACCAACCCCAUGACUGGGUAUAGCCGCGGGAAACUGCGGGUAAUCCCCAGCGACGUCGCGGGGGGCAUCCCCCCGCGACCAAAGCCCCGGCGUCGUGGGACGGGCCGUCGUGGUAUUAGGUAGUUGGCGGGGUAACGGCCCACCAAGCCGGCGAUGCCUACCGGGCGUGCGAGCGCGACCCGGCACACUGGGACUGAGACACUGCCCAGACUCCUACGGGAGGCUGCAGUCGAGAAUCUUCGGCAAUGGGCGCAAGCCUGACCGAGCGACGCCGCGUGGAGGACGAAGGCCUUCGGGUUGUAAACUCCUGUCGAGGGGGAAGAAGCCGGGUGACCGGUUGACUGAUCCCUGGAGGAAGCACGGGCUAAGUUCGUGCCAGCAGCCGC
rnacentral:rRNA from 1 species